UGGGGAUAGGUGAGCGAUUCAGGACCAUCAUGGUCCUCUUGUUUCAAAUAGUCCUCAGUUAUUUUUUUAUUUUUUAUUUUUUGCUCUGUAGAGUUAUUUUCAUUGCAAUUAUUUUGCUGAAGUGACAUGAAAUAUCUAUGCUUGGCAUGUAGGUAGCAUUUUCACAAUGAAAUAAUAACAUGACAGAAUUUGUCAUGGAAACUUAGAUCAUACACCACCACUACAAUUUGGGGUCUCAUUUUUAGCUGAUCUUGCAGUAGUUUGACUGAAGAUAUUUUUCUUGCAUUAAACAUGGCCCCCACUUUUCGUUUAAUUUUUAUUAGCUCUGAUAAUAUUCUUCGGGAAAAUGUAAGUUAAAGAUAUUUUAAAUUGGUCUUGACGUUUGCUGCAGCCACUGGAAAUUUGUCAUUUUUAUAUAAAAUAAAGAAGAACAACUAUUUAGUGUGUUGUAACCUUAUGGAUGAUUGGGUUAAUAAUGUUCAGCGAUAGCUGGAUCUCAGCAUCACAUAUUAUGUUUUUUACAUAAUUUGUGCAACACGUUUAAAUAAAAUGAUUUUGAACAAUUCUCGGCGUAAUAUUAAUGUUUUUUGACAUGUAUGAAUUGUGUUUUCGCGGGUGGAAUAUCGAAAAGACAAUGGCAGAAUUAAUGUUUUCUGUCGUCACUUUCAAAAUAGAACUUGUAGAGAAAAGUUUGAAGUAUUGUUGAUCUAUUACUUUAUUAUUGAUAAUGCCUGGAAAUAAACGUAAAUCAGGGAGUGGGACUGUUAAAUAUGAACUAUUUCAAGAAGCUCCAGAAGGAGAAACAGUGACUCAGUAAUAGAGGAGACAGUGAGAUGUGAAAAGCGAGACGAAUCUGUGAAUGACAUUCUUCCUGGACAGGUACCCCUGAGAAAACGGUCACAAAUUCAGAAUCCCACCCAGCCAUGCUGGAUGGCCAAAGGAAAUCAGGCAUUGAUCCAAAAUGGAAACAAGCGUUUCCCUGGAUGACAGUCUCAAGAGAACGACCAAGGUAUGUUGUGUUCAGUUUGUGUAAAGCACCAGAGAAGGCCAAAGAAGUGUGUUCCUGAUAGAGCCUUGUGGGUUAACUUGACAUUCAAUGUUCUUCAAUCAGGCAAUCAUCUUUAAUAAAUAAUAAAGACUCAGACUCACACAAGAAAGCAUUGGUAUUUGAUGUUGCGGAAGCAAAAACAGGUGGUGGGAUCGAGGCUUGUUUUGUGAGGGGUGAACCGUGAGGCAAUGACAGCAUCUAUGACACUGCUUUACUUUCCGUGUAAGGAGGAAAUUCCCCACACCACCAAAUACAAAGCUUUAGUUGACGUAGCUAAGACAUUAGGAGUGAAUGUUCUAAAUAGUUGGAGAAGGGGGAUAACGCCAAGUACACAAAAUUGAUAAGUUUACGUUGUCAUUCAGCAAAUAAAUUCCACAGGAAUAGAAGACUGAAACUUUAAUGUGCAGUGCUAAAAUUGUGUUGUUUUAAAUUAUGUAAAAUAAAUAGUGGACAUUUUCAGAAACUUACAUAACUGGAUAAGUUUACAUUGUCAUUCAGCAAAUAAACUCCAGAGAAAUUUUUUAUGACACAUUA
rnacentral:lncRNA from 1 species